rnacentral:lncRNA from 1 species
GGCUUUUCCUCGGGCUUGAGUAUGGAAUGGAAGGGGCUUUUCCUUAGGGUCGGGGCUAGACGGGAAGAGGCUUUUUCUCUGGGUUGGGGCCACAAGGAAAGGCGCAUUUCCCCAGGGUUCUGGUUGAUCCUCAGGGUUGGGGCAGGAGGGGAAGGGCCUUUUACUUAGGAUUGAGGCCGGAGGGAAGGGGUUUUCCUCAGGGUUGGGGCCGGAGUGGAAGGCAUUUUUUCCAGGGGGUUGGGGCCCGGAGGAGAAGGGGCUUUUCCUCAGGGUUUGUGGCUGGAGGGGAAGUGGCUUUUCCUCAGGGUUGGGGCCACAGGGGAAGGGACAUUUCCCCAGGGUUCUGGUUGGUCCUCAGGGUUGGGGCAGGAGGGGAAGGGCCUUUUACUUAGGAUUGAGGCCGGAGGGAAGGGGUUUUCCUCA